rnacentral:lncRNA from 1 species
AAUAUCCGAUCGUCUGACGUCGUAUCGUCCGGCGCCCGAUCUUCUGACACCGACGUAACGUCUGACGACGACAAGACGUGGCGUCUGACACCUGAUGCCGACGUGACUUCUGACAUCGACUAGACGUCCGGAUCGCUUGGCAUUUGUGAGGCGUCUGACAUCGGAUCAGCCGGCGGUACGGUCGGAUCUACGCAUGCGACAAAUCCACUCCCAGUCG